AGAAACAUGGAUUUGCAAUGAUGGGUAAAUUUCAUGCACAAGUGUUCAUAAAUGAACUACAUUUUGAUGAAGAAAAGAAAGUAUGUUUACUACUUGAAGGAAAAACAGAAGUUUCCAAAAUUGAUCUGCUUGGCACAGUUGUUUAUCGCAACAUCCAGGAUAAGGCCUUCAUUCUACAUCUUGAUGAUGGAACAGGCAUUUUGCCAUGUAUCCAAUUCCAGUCAGACCGGCAAGGCAUCAGUGAUUGGGAUUUAAAAAAUGUUCCAGAAGAAAUUCAGCAGGUGUAUCGGGACUCCUUAUCUACCAGAGAUAAUGUUCCUGACUUAGGUGAUUGCUUACAUAUUAGAGGAAGAACUUCGUUCUUCAAGGAAAAACCUCAGAUUAUCAUCAAUCAGAUGCGGCGUGUUUAUGACAUCAAUGAAUGGUGGUCAAGAGUAUUGGAGAUCAGCUCCAUCCGCUCAUCCAUAGAAGAUAAAAAUCAUUAAGGAGCUGUGGUUCAACUACUAUACAUGGCUGCUUUUAGUGUAUUUUCAGUUUAAUCACCAAUUUCUACCGCUCUGUUAGCUUGUAAAGCUAUAUUCUAGAAUAUAAUUUUGUGCAAUUUCACAAUUAUUGUGCACAAACCUAACGGAAAGAUUGUAGCAAUGUACAAAAAAUAUUUUUGUAUGUAGGGAAAGGCAUAUAAAACUGGCAAUGGGUGUCCAUUCAAUUGAAUUUGUCAAACUUGGUGCUUGUUCAUGGUAAUAUAAUUGAGAUGAUACCUUGACUGAUGUUACAAUUUUUUUACAUGUCCUCAGUACAGUAUUGAUGAUAAUGAUAAUGUUGUAAGUUUUCAAUGGUGAUUCUCUGUCAUGCAUUCCAGAAUAUAAAAAUAAACUAUUUCCUGUGGUCUUUUUCAAAUUGGUUCAUUUUCUUCCUUUUAUCAUUCUUCUGAGUGUAUGUUGCUCUCAAAGGCAAACUAGGGCCACAUUACUUGUAUAAACUUAUGAUAAUUUGAAAGUGUUGCUUUUUUUCCAAAUUAAUGUUCAUUUACAAAGAGAUAAAGAAUAUGAAUAAUAGUUCCAUGAUUAUUGUUGGCUGGAUGGAAUGGUGUAUUCACAAAUCAUUACCAUUGUUGAUAAGGUCUUAGUCAUAAAGGAUGGUAGAAAUGUGCUUCUUUUCAAUAAUUUGUUCUUUUGUUGAAAUUGUGCAAAAAGCGAUCUCUCUGUUCCUACAGAGUGACUAUGAUAUAAAUGUCUCUAAUUUUUUAAUUUUUGAAACAGUAAUAUCAUAAUCCUAGUUAUGGAAUCAACUUAUGGAUGAUAAUAAUUAGACAAGUUUAGAGUGUUUUGUAUGGAGUUUUCAAAUUUUGUAUAGCCCAUUUACAAAGGCUCUUGGUCUCCAAAGAUUGACUUUGUAAAUGUCAGCAUUGCCAUGAUGCCUUCCUUGAGUGAUGUGUCAGUUAUCUCCACUGCAUCAGUUCUGUCAAGAACUCGUUCCUCUGCCAGAAACCAUCUUUCUUCUCGAAUCCAAGCUCGAGAUGAUAUCUUGUCAAGACUACGAGGAUUCCAGCACAAUGUUCACAACCCUAAGGAAUUUAUUUACUUGUCAGCUCACGUGCUAGCUGCUGAGUUUGGUGACUUGAUCCUGAAGCAUCUGAACUGUUAUCGAGCUAGGCUGGCGCCUCUGGCCCCUGAGGGAGCAAUUGAAGGUUUGCUCUCCCCUGAUGUAGAUGGUUGUUUUGACCCCAUCCAAGUCUUCCUGAAGAGAGCUUCUAUCACUCAGAUGGAAGCAUUCUUAGCUGCACGUCUUAAAUGGAGUGCUAAGUUUCUGACUGUUCUUUGUAGCUCGUCAACUUCACAGCAAAAUCAGUUGUACCUCCCACGUGUAUUGAGAGUAAAGGAAUGUCUGAUCAGGGUAUGAUUAAAUCACCCAAUGAAGAUUACAAGAAUGAACUGGAACGUGUCAGAGGUCGGGCUCGCCGAGUACUGCGCUCCCUUUCAGGAAAUCUUUUCAACUUUUACUUAUGUUUACCUAAAGGAAACAAACUUUGGAAUGAACUGAUCGAGUAUGACGGAUUCCUCUCGACCCUCUCCUUGCUUGGCCAGUUCGGUGAACGAACUGAGACAUCUGGAAAUGAAGAGUUGUGCUGGCAGAACUUUUCGAGUGAAGAUAUUAGUGAGCUGGAAUCCGUUUGUUCAUCGCAAGCUGCCUCAUCGCGAACUUCAGUGUUGGCUGUGACGCUGCUGAAGCGCGCGGCGUCCUGUGCCGAGAGCGCCAGGCACCGGCUCUACAGCCACGCUGUGCACUGCCUGGUGGCCGCAGGGGGAGGAACUCAGUUCGCCUGUCAUCUUGACGUUGACCAGCUGUUGCGGUUGCCAUCGCCACCACUCACUGAACAGUGCCCCGACAAUGCGGGCGUGCAGCUUAAAGAUGGAACUCGUUUCGAAUUUGAAAAAUGCCCUCGCACUGAAAAGUGAGACAAUUAUUUCCCUGCAUUCUCUCUUUUUAUUUAUUUUGAACAUUUGCAAAUCUUUUUUUAAUUGUGAUUUUUCUCCCGUAGCUAUUUAACCGAUGACGCCUUCUGUAUGUACCGUACUUUAUUGGCGAACAAUACCUUGCAACUUUCGACGGCUUGUAUAGGUUGUGUGUACGAUUUUUUUCCAUCUGUGGAAAGAUUUAAUUUUCGCUGAGCGAGAUGUUUGAGAAAUAUAUCAUUUCCAGAGAAACUGGGAAAUGUGACCAUGUAUUUGAGACGAUGCUGUUGGAAGUGACAGAACAUUUUGUUUGACAGUUUAUGAGUGAAAUAUUGUUUGUAAUGCGGAGUCAAUGUAAUAUGUCUAGCAAUGCACGAGUUAUGAGACACAGGUCUAGCAUUUAGUCACGUUUUAUAUGUUAACAUAUAUGCUUGUUAACAUAUCGUUAGUUCUCAAACAAUUCAGGAGCCUUGUAAGGUAAAGAAAAUUUCUGAUUUUUUUUUACAAAUUUGUUGUAAGAGAGUGUUGAGUUUUUACCACGCAGUGUUGUGUCAAACUUGGAGUUAGAUGAUAUGUGGAGAUCCAACAUGAACCGUCCUCCCUCGACAGCAUUAGGAUUGAAGUUUAAAACUUUUUAUUGUAUGAAAUUUGAUGUUUGCGUGAAAAUUCGGCUACGUGCCACCUUGUACCUAUGUUACAUGCCAAGAAUAACCCGGAAGUGUCUCGAGCUUACAGCUUCAUUGCUGUGGGUCAUGAUAUCCACAACCACGAGUUGAAGGCUGAUUAUCCGCCAUAUUUUAGUGGAACUGGAAACGCGCGCACGACUUUGUUGCCUGGUACAAAUACCUUCAGUGGACACUGAAAUGUUUUUUGUUGUCCCGUCAAUGCAAUUUUAGCUCCCAUUUUUGUGCACAAACGUAGAUGAAUCAUUUUGUUGAUCACAUGCUUGAAUUAUCAUUUAUUGUAUUUUUUUUAAUCACAUUUACUGAUAUUUAUGUAGGGCUUGCUUUAUAAGGUAGGUUUACAAAUGAGAUAACGUUGCAAUAGUGCCACAAAACCUGGCUACCUUGUUUACGAAUCGCAAAUGACGGGUAAAUUAAAAUGACUCAUCUCGUUCCGGUACUAAUAUCAAAACUUGCACGCUCGAUCAAGAACGUGCAUGCUCUGUAAUCCUUAAAGUUUGUGUCUAAUUAAGACUACAUACCUCGCAGCAUGAUUAGUUGCGUUUUCACCAUAUCUGGAUCUUAAAAUUAGCCAACAUAAACAUAGAUUGGAUAUUAUUAUGUCAUAAUGUGUUUACGUUCUCUGCAAGCAAAAAAUAAAUCAUUUUUAUCCCUAUGUUUUUACGUGACUAUGAAGUCGGUGAUAUUAACUUAUAAACUUUAAUGUAAUUUUUUUUAAAUAUGAACUUUCAUUUGAAUUGUUCGCCUCUGUUAGGAUAUAACUUUACAUGACGUAUGUAAAGAUUCGUAUUAAUAAAUUAUUAUUUAACGCUGCUUUACCUUACUCAAACAUUAUUGACAAUU
rnacentral:misc_RNA from 1 species